rnacentral:rRNA from 1 species
GCUUACGGCCACACCUCCCUGAGCACGCCCGAUCUCGUCUGAUCUCGGAAGCUAAGCAGGGUCGGGCCCGUUAUACUUGGAUGGGAGACCGCCUGGGAAUACCAGUGCUGUAAGCC